rnacentral:rRNA from 1 species
ACUACGGGUGGCAGCAGUGAGGAAUAUUGGUCAAUGGUCGGGAGACUGAACCAGCCAAGCCGCGUGAGGGAUGAAGGUACAGAGUAUCGUAAACCUCUAUUGUCAGGUAACAAAGGCGGGGACGUGUCCCCGGAUGAGUGUACCUGAAGAAAAAGCAUCGGCUAACUCCGUGCCAGCAGCCGGGGUAAUACGGAGGAGGGGAGCUUUAUCCGGAUUUCUGUGGUUUAACGGGUGCGCAGGUGAGCUGGUCAGUCAGCGGUUAAAGCACGGGGCUCAACCCCGGACCGACGUUGAAACUGGCAGUCUCGAGUUGGAGAGAAGUAUGCGGAAUGCGCGGUGUAGCGGUGAAAUGCAUAGA